rnacentral:tRNA from 1 species
UGAGAUGUAGCUCAAUGACAGAGCAUUUGCCUGGCAUGCAGGAGGUCUUGGAGUUUGACCCCCAGUAGCACAA